rnacentral:rRNA from 1 species
CAGUCGCCACGGGAAUACGUAGGUGGCAAGCGUUGUCCGGAUUUAUUGGGCGUAAAGCGAGCGCAGGCGGUCAAUUAAGUCUGAUGUGAAAGCCCCCGGCUCAACCGGGGAGGGUCAUUGGAAACUGGUUGACUUGAGUGCAGAAGAGGAGAGUGGAAUUCCAUGUGUAGCGGUGAAAUGCGUAGACAUAUGGAGGAACACCAGUGGCGAAGGCGACUCUCUGGUCUGUAACUGACGCUGAGGAGCGAAAGCGUGGGGAGCGAACAGGAUUAGAUACCCCUGUAGUCCCUGUCUCUUAUAA